rnacentral:rRNA from 1 species
AUACGGAGGGUGCGAGCGUUAAUCGGAAUUACUGGGCGUAAAGCGCACGCAGGCGGUCUGUUAAGCUAGAUGUGAAAGCCCCGCGCUCAACGUGGGAGGGUCAUUUAGAACUGGCAGACUAGAGUCUUGGAGAGGGGAGUGGAAUUCCAGGUGUAGCGGUGAAGUGCGUAGAGAUCAGGAGGAACAUCAAUGGCGAAGGCAACUUACUGGACAUUUACNGACGCUCAGACACGAAGGCUAGGGUAGCGAAAGGGAUUAGAUACCCCUGUAGUCCUAGCAGUAAACGGUGCUCGCUUGGUGUGGGAGGAUUCGACCCCUUCUGU